GACGAACGCUGGCGGCGUGCUUAACACAUGCAAGUCGAACGAAGUGGCGGACGGGUGAGUAACGCGUAAUCAACCUGCCCUUCAGCGGGGGACAACAGUUGGAAACGACUGCUAAUACCGCAUACUGAUGGUGGGGUUUGUGUGUGAUUAGCUAGUUGGAGGGGUAACGGCCCACCAAGGCGAUGGUCAGUAGGCGGUGCGGGAGGUAGAACGGGCAAAUGGGGACGGGUACACCGGCCAGGAUCCUACGGGAGGCAGCAGGUGGGAAUGUUCGGCAAUGGACGAAAGGCCGACGGAGGAACGCCGCGGUAGUGAUGACGGCCUUCGGGUUGUAAAGCUAUGUUAAUCGGGAAGCGGUACCGGAAUAGAAAGCCACGGCUAACUACGUGCCAGCAGCCGCGGUAAUUC
rnacentral:rRNA from 1 species